AUUACUGUUACAUUUAUUUAUAUUUACUAAAAGUAAAUAUAUGCUCACAUAUCAGUAAGUAUUGUACAGCCCUAAAUUAUAUUUAAUACACCCAUCUAGGCAGUUAAUUCAUAUAUGUGCUGGCUUUAAUUUACAUUCAUGUUAUUAUCACCCUGCAAUAGGCGGAGGGAUAUUGUUUUGGCCUUGUCCGCCCGUCUUUCCGUCCAUCCGGCACUUUUGUGUUGGGAGCCAUAUCUUGGAAGUGCUUUGGUGGAUUUCAUUGAAACUUGGUAUGAGUAUAUGUAUAGAUAAGAGGAUGAUGCAUGCCAAAUGGCAUUGUACACUAUCUGAUAAUAAUGGAGUUAUGGCCCUUCGAACCUAAAAAAAUGCUUUUUUACCCGAGUGUCAAAUAUAACACUUUUGUGUCCAGAAGCUAAUUAGCGGGGGAUAUCAAUUCAAUGAAUUUGCUUGUUAUUAAUUGAAGGGAAAUAAACCUGUUAUUUUGUCUGUCAUUAUGGUGUUGAAAGUCACAUUUAAUGGCAUCCAACCUACUUUAUUUCAAAUACAGUAACACCUGGCGCCGUGACCUGGAUGCAGAUUCUAAGCAGAUGGGCCAAAAUGGGGGCAGCUAGAGAGACUCGCCUGGAACUGACAAGCCUGGAGGGAGCUGGUUGACUGUUGGCGAGAUGGGACAACAGACGAAGAAUAAACGAACCUACUUGAUUUGAUAAACAUUUUUAUGUUUUUCAGUUUCGUCGGAAGACAUUUCCCACCAACCAUCCUGUCUUGAAAGAAAUAACUUUUGAACCCGAUUAUCUGAUAUUUUCCAGUUUCCCCUCACAACAAUUUGCAUCAAACCUCUUGUCUGUUUGGCAGACAAAACAUGCUGAUCAAAAAGAAUGUGUACCACAGGGGCCAGUGUUUCCAUUUGAGUGAUUGACAAGAAGAAGAAGAGAUGAGAAAUGUUAUCAUCAUAU